rnacentral:rRNA from 1 species
GACGAACGCUGGCGGCGUGCUUAACACAUGCAAGUCGAACGGAAAGGCCUCUUUCGGGGGGUACUCGAGUGGCGAACGGGUGAGUAACACGUGAGUAACCUGCCCUUGACUUUGGGAUAACUUCAGGAAACUGGGGCUAAUACCGGAUAGGAGCUCCUGCUGCAUGGUGGGGGUUGGAAAGUUUCGGCGGUUGGGGAUGGACUCGCGGCUUAUCAGCUUGUUGGUGGGGUAGUGGCUUACCAAGGCUUUGACGGGUAGCCGGCCGGAGAGGGUGACCGGCCACAGUGGGACUGAGAGACGGCCCAGACGCCGACGGGAGGAAGCAGUGGGGAAGAUUGCACAAUGGGUGGAAGCCUGAUGCAGCAACGCCGUGUGCGGGAUGACGGCCUUCGGGUUGUAAACCGCGUGCGCUCAUGACGAAGCUUUGUGUGACGGUAGUGGGUAAAGAAGCACCGGCUAACUACGUG